rnacentral:rRNA from 1 species
GACGAACGCUGGCGGCGUGCUUAACACAUGCAAGUCGAACGGACAGGCCCUGCUUUUGUGGGGUGCUCGUGUGGCGCACGCGUGAGUAACACGUGUGUAACCUGCCCUUGUCUUUGGGAUAACUUCACGAAACUGGGGCUAAUAUCCGAUAGGAGCUCCUGCUGCGUGGUGGUCGAUGGUAAGUUUCGGCGGUUGGGGCUGGACUGGCGGCUUAUCGGCUUGUUGGUGUGGUAGUGGCUUACCAAGGCUUCGACGGGUAGCCGGCCUGAGAGGGUGACCGGCGACAUUGGGACUGAGGUACGGACCAGUCUGGUACGGGAGGCAGCAGUGGAGAAUAUUGCGCAAUGGGGGGAAGCGUGAUACAGCAGCGCCGCGAGCGGAAAGCCGGCCUUCUGGUUGUAAACCGCUUUCGACGGUGACGAGGCGGGAGUGACGGUAAUGGGUAAAGAAGCAACGGCUAACUACGUG